AUUGAACGCUAGCGGGAUGCCUUACACAUGCAAGUCGAACGGAGUGGCGAACGGGUGAGUAAUGUAUCGGAACGUGCCCAGUAGCGGGGGAUAACUACGCGAAAGCGUAGCUAAUACCGCAUACUAUUGGAUGGGCCGAUAUCGGAUUAGCUAGUUGGUGGGGUAACGGCUAACCAAGGCGACGAUCCUGAACUGGUUUGAGAGGACGACCAGUCACACUGGGACUGAGACACGGCCCAGACUCCUACGGGAGGCAGCAGUGGGGAAUUUUGGACAAUGGGCGAAACCCUGAUCCAGCCAUCCCGCGUGUGCGAUGAAGGCCUUCGGUUUGUAAAGCACUUUUGGCAGGGAAGCGGUACCGGCAGAAUAAGCACCGGCUAACUACGUGCCAGCCGCCGCGGUAAUAC
rnacentral:rRNA from 1 species